rnacentral:rRNA from 1 species
GGGGGAUAUUGCGCAAUGGCCGCAAGCCUGACGACGCAACGCCGCGUGGAGGAUGAAGGUCUUCGGAUUGUAAACUCCUGUUGAUCGGGACGAACAACCAUCGGGAUAACACCCCGGAGGUCUGACGGUACCGAUUGAGGAAGCCCCGGCUAACUCUGUGCCAGCAGCCGCGGUAAUACAGAGGGGGCAAGCGUUGUUCGGAAUUACUGGGCGUAAAGGGCGCGUAGGCGGCCGCCUAAGUCAGACGUGAAAUCCCUCGGCUCAACCGGGGAACUGCGUCUGAUACUGGGUGGCUUGAAUCCGGGAGAGGGAUGCGGAAUUCCAGGUGUAGCGGUGAAAUGCGUAGAUAUCUGGAGGAACACCGGUGGCGAAGGCGGCAUCCUGGACCGGCAUUGACGCUGAGGCGCGAAAGCCAGGGGAGCAAAC